CCUACGGGAGGCAGCAGUAAGGAAUAUUGGUCAAUGGAGGCAACUCUGAACCAGCCAUGCCGCGUGCAGGAUGAAGGCCCUAUGGGUCGUAAACUGCUUUUACACAAGAGAAAACCCGAGUACGUGUACUCGGUUGAUAGUAUUGUGAGAAUAAGCAUCGGCUAACUUCGUGCCAGCAGCCGCGGUAAGACGAAGGAUGCAAGCGUUAUCCGGAUUCAUUGGGUUUAAAGGGUGCGUAGGCGGACCUGUAAGUCAGUGGUGAAAUCUCUUUGCUUAACAAAGAAACUGCCAUUGAUACUGCAAGUCUAGAGUAUAGAUGACGUUGGCGGAAUAUGACAUGUAGUGGUGAAAUACUUAGAUAUGUCAUAGAACACCGAUUGCGAAGGCAGCUAACGAAACUAUAACUGACGCUGAGGCACGAAAGUGCGGGGAUCAAACAGGAUUAGAUACCCUGGUAGUCCGCACCGUAAACGAUGAUUACUCGUUGUUGGCAUAUGACCUCAGCGACCAAGCGAAAGCGANAAGUAAUCCACCUGGGGAGUACGCCGCGAACGGUGAAACUCGAAAGGAAGUUGACGG
rnacentral:rRNA from 1 species